rnacentral:rRNA from 1 species
AUGACCCACGUACACGGCCUCGAUCGAUCCGAUCGACGAUAUAUAAAGAGACUGAAGGGACGCAGCAGUGCCGCAGGGUCGACCGAUCUCGAUCACAAAGCUAUGGCCGACAUCGAGAAUCCCGACGUCGACGACGGCAGUGUGGCGGUGGCGGAGCCCGCCGAGUGCAGCCGGCGCGUGUACAUGUGCCUGCUGUGCUGCGUCGCCUUGGCGCUCGUCCUCGCCUUCCAGAGCUCCUUGGACGUCAAGGAAUCCCAUCCUGCAAAGACCAUGCUGGGUAUCAUGGUGGACAUCGGAGGGCUCUUGACUGCGCUCGUCGGCUGCUGGUUCGUCUUCCUUUUCGCCGCGCUCGUGGCCGACUGGUUUGAAGGCAAUCCGGAGGGGAAAAGGCUGGUAGAUAACUUGAUCGAAUCGGAUCGUCCUUGUCUGCUGGAAUCCUUCCGUCUCGUUCUAGGUCGCUGCGACCCGGAUCAGCAUGUAGUUGAUGCAUAG